AGCGGGCCGAGCGCGUGCGGCCGCCGAGCACAUGGGCCCGCGGGCCGGGCGGACUCCAGGCGGCCGGGACCCGGAGGACCAGCGAGAGGCCGCGAGCGAGGAUGGGCCCCGGCACGCGCCCGGAGCCCCCUGAGUGGAUUUCCACGCCGAAAGGCUGUUGGCGGCCCCGGUGACCUGCGGAGACGCGGUUGGAUCCACCUUCCAGCUUGAUCUUUUGACCAGAAAGGAAUUAAAAAGAUGGUCCCUCGUGAUGGCUGCGCCUGUCAGCUGCGUGGAGCUUCCUUGAAGGAUUUUCUGAGCCGUGUGGAUGUACAGUGAUUCUCGGCCGCCUGAGGAAUAACGCUGGUGGAAGCACUCUCUCCAAUGACACACGCCUGCCCCAUUUCUGGAUGCUAAAGGUGGUUUUAGGAAGGCCCUGGCUGAGUGCCUCGCGGAUUCCUGCAGCCUGGAUGCCCCUGGUGGACGGAGGACUGAAGCUUCCUGCCCUUGCUGCCGACAGGAGUGUUCGGUUGGGGCUCUGCCAGCUCCCUUGGGGGCUCCCUGUGAAACCAUCCUGUUCCACCUGGGAUUUAAGUGCCUUUAAUUUGAAAAAAAAAAAUACGUAUCCAGUCAAUACUCCAGAGGGACUUGAAAACUGUUCUUCCCUGAACUAAAGCUGGAAUAUCAUGGGAUGUGAAGAAUCAAGGCCGGGCUGAGGUUUCAGAGGCAUUCCGAGCUCCUGUGGAGCCUUGCUUCUCUCCAGCCUUGGGCUCUCUGAACUCUUGGACAUCUCAGGGCCCAGAAGAAAAAGAAGAAAGCCAACCAGUUCUGGGAGCAGCCUGGGUGAAGAGAGAUAAAGAAACAAAAGUUCAAGGAGGGUCACCGUAACUGUUCUCUCUUUGGUCCCUCUGCCUCCAUUUUGGACACUGCAGGCCUUGCAAUUUCUGCCUUCACCCUUUUGGAAUGCUUCAGAUAUCAUGAAAAGAAGCCCACACUAGCCUACUGGAGGCCUCCUGGAGAGAAAGACCCAACCGCCAGCCAACAGCAACCACUAGAUGCCUGAGUGAGACCAUCCGGGACCAGCCAGCCCCCAGGUGAACAUCAGCUGGUUACAAAUGUAUCAGUGAGUCCAGCCAUGACCACCGUGAGAAGAAGAGCUUCCUAGCUGAGCCCUGCUCAAAUCACCAGCCCACAGAAUUAGGAAUUAAAGAACUGGUUAAUGUUUCAAGCCGGAUGAGAAAUCCAAGAGUGGGAGUACCAAUCCACGCUACAGUCUCAAAUGUGUGGAGCAUCCGCUAUGGACUGGGUGCUGGGAAUAUACAGCAAUGAAUCAUCCUUCAGUGAGCCUGCAGCUAGCAGGGAAGAUAAGGCCAGUCCAUGAAUUCCCAGAACACCAGGCAGGAAGUUAUAAGAAGAAUAUGUAUAAAUAGAGGGUUCCAUAUAAAGCUCAGAGGAGGGAAAGGCUAUAUUAAGCUGGAGCAAUCAGAAAAGACAUUUUGGAGCAUUUGCUAUGUGAUUUGGACCUUGGAAACGAGAAAGAUUUGAAUAAGUGAAGAUGGUUUAGAAAGUGGAAGAGUGUUGAUGCCAGAAGUUCAUUCCAUGCAAAGCCAAGGAGGUGGAAGAGAGCUGGGCUUUCAGAGAGAACAAAGAGACUCAGCUUAGCGAGAGCAAGGAGGAGCUGAAGAAAUAAAAGGAGGAAAGAUGGAUCAGGGCCAGAGAAAUCAUAGAGCUUUGCUAAUGUCAUGCUCCCGGAUGGCUUUUUAAACGUGGAAGUUACAGAUACAUGAGCAGUAAAAGAAAACUGUACAUGAGAAUGAAGAUAAAGAAUUACCUUUAUUUGGACAUUUUCUAUGUAAGACGGUAUUAUGUUGGCCAGAGAUGGAUCUUGACUCCUGGGCUGAUCAGACUCUAAUUAGAUCCUGAGUCCCACCACCUAUCACAGCUUUUCUCAAAUGCUUUCCCAGUGCAGUGACUGCCACAUGUUGUUGGGAUUUUGGUCCAAGCCACAGAAGAAGACAGUGAAGCUAAGUGAUGCAGGAAGUAAACUCAUGACCUUAGAUUCGGGAAACUGGUGCACCAACCACUGAGAAACCAGAGAUGGAGGAUUUUUGCACAAGCAUGAGCAGAGUAUAAAUCAACAUCUCUGCCUUCAACAAAAUCCGCAUCCAAACUGCGUAUCGUGAGCAGACCUAUCGAGAAAUCCACGUGGUUAAGUAACUGAUGACUCUGAUCCAUAGCCAGCAAAGACCUGAGACCUGCCAAUAGCCAGAUGGCACACUAAAUGACAGAAGAUAAUUUGGUAGCAUCUAUAGAGUUUCAGGAAGAAAAGGAUGUGAUCCUGGAAUGUUCCAUAUAUGUUCCUGUGAACAUUCACGUAUGCAGUGAACAGGAUGAUAUCACUGGAUAUGCAAAGGAGACAAAAUAUAUUAUCUGCAGUCCCUCCUUGAAAAACUUCUUUAAGACACAUUUGCAAACUGAGUAAUGAAACACAAGAGCUCAGAAUUAGAUGGUCACGAUAUAGAAGGACAGUGAGCAGUGAUGACAAUUAAAGAAGAGAUAAACUUCAAUGUCACCAUUAUGGUUAUAAAAAGGAAUUAAAGCCUGAAAUUCAUUCAGGAUACAGAAUGCUUAUAAUAUAUAAAAUAGUAGUGUCAUAACUAUGAGCUGGAUCCCAAAACUUCAAAGAAUUAUUAACAAAGACUGGGAAGUACAUGAGACGGUGUGUGGAAAAGAAAAAUAAAGUGCUGCGCUCAUUGUCUUACAGAGGGCCUAUGAAUUUCAUCCUUGUAAUGUGUUUAUAGAUUUUAGUUUUCUUUAGGUGUACAUGUAUUUUCUAUUUUUUCUAACUCAGAUAAGUAUUUACUUGAUUAAUAAAGAAACAGU